rnacentral:lncRNA from 1 species
CGGACUUCAAACAGCCGAUUUGAUUGUCACAUUUUUGAAAAAGGGGAAAGCGGCGGAGGUGUCACGAUGUCUUCUGUAUAUGGGAGUCGGUGAUUGGUACGAGUACGGGUUUGCUACUUAGAACCCAACCACGGAGAUCAAACACUUGGUCAAGCGAAUUGGUGGGUAUUAGAGGAUUAGAGGAGGGCCGCCUGGGCGUUGCAGUGACUAAUGAUUGGACAACGGGCAAAAUAUCAAAGAGCCAUGGCUUGCCUCAACAACUGACUCACCCCACUGGUCGGGGCACGCUAAUUUUUGCAGCAAUGCGGUGACAACGGAACGUCUGUGUGUUUAGUCUUUCAACAGAAAAAUGCGGCACAUAAACAAAAUCACAAUCAAAAGCGCUGCAGAAGCAAAAGCUGAAUCUGAAACGCCGACCAGACUCUCGGACAACCCACUCCCUUUUUGGGGCGCCACUAUGGCGGCUUUGUAAGCGCUAAAUUGUAGGAUGGAGUAGGAUUUUCCAGGGGAAUGUGCCUCGACAGAAAGAGAACAAGAGUGUGGACUUUCAUUGAAGAAAGUUUGUGGCAAAUUGAUUUAAAAUAAAUGGAAAUACACAUUGGCAGUACGUGCCUAGCUGCCGUGGCACAGGUGGCGUAUACGUAAUGCUCAACCACUGAUUUCAUCUGUAUCCCAUUGCCAAGGAAACCAAAGUCAAGUGGAUUGGCUUGCGCUUUACUUUUAUACACCUACAUUACUUAUGAAGUGAACAGCUUUAAGUAGUUGAGAGGCAUUUACAUUUAUCAAUACCAGUGGUUACUUAAAAGAGUGUUAGCAUCAAAAGUCACCGCUGUAAACACUAAAAAAUCAGAAACGUUAUACAUUCUGGACAUAUAUAAUUUUUAGCCUGCAGCUGAAAUAUUGAGUGACAUUUUACCAUCCUAGUAAUUCAGUUCUGUGCUCUUCUCGAUUCUAUGGAACGGGUUUGUUUGCUGACUUCGUUUUCCACCCAAGUGCACCAAAUCGUAAAUUUUGUAUGCCAUUUUGUGGCAGAGGCGGGUAGCGGAAAGAAAGUGGCAAAAAGAGUGAAAACAAUGGCAGUUGCGCCGGAUGAACUUGCAUUUACAUGUAACUCCAAGUCUAUUGGGGAAACAGUGAGUCGAAUUGUGCAUUAAAGUUGCACACGAGUGUCGGUUGAAUCGAACUCGAUUUGCGGCACCCCGAAGUGCAGAGAG